UAUUUCUCCUCCGUAUUCAUUGUGAGCCGAACAUAUUUUGUUACGUACCAAGUUAUAUAUCGGUUGUAUCUUAGUAGCCUAAAGUGAAGAAGCUAAAAUGAAUAUAGCAACAGUUAUAAUAUUGGCAAUGGUGGCACGAGCUCAAUCACUUAAUUGUUACGAUUGCAAAGACAUAAAUAUUUCUGUACAUCAGCGAAAUGAAUGUGAAUCAGACAGCGUUCAAGAGUGUCCGGAGGGGGAAGCUUGCUCAUCUUAUACCAUAACCUUCACUGAAGGUGAGAAUGACAGGUCCAGCUAUUUGAAAGAUUAUUAUUGUAUGAACGAGGCAGAUGUGGACUCAAACUUGGUUGAAUGUAAGGGUAAAGAAUCUAGAUUUCACGAGUAUCUCGACAAUGUGAAGGAUUUUGCCUGUGAAAUUGAAACGUGCAAGGAGAACUUGUGUAACUCAGGUGAAUAGAGACAUAUAUAAAGUCUGGAGCGUGUGAGGACAAGAAAACAUUUAGAUUAGAAGAUUAGAAGAUUAGAAGAUUAGGGGACCAACUGAAGACACAUACAUAUGAGAUUUUAGAUAUCUUUGAAAUUAUAUUUUGAUUUGAUCAAUUUUUCAUUCCUUUA